rnacentral:misc_RNA from 1 species
AAGUCGUAACAAGGUUUCCGUAGGUGAACCUGCGGAAGGAUCAUUAACAAAAUUACCCCAAAUGGGGUUUUUUUAUUCCAUGUUAUACCUUGUGUGAAAUUUAUAAAAAUAUUUUUUACUUUUUUUUUAAAAAUAAAUCAUAUAAAUUUUAAUAAUAAUAAAUAAAAUUAAAAACAACUUUCAACAACGGAUCUCUUGGCUCUC